AUAUGAGGUGGUUAAGAUCACCAACUGGGAACAUGACAAAACAAAGAAACAUAUAAGAUGAUGGUCAGAUAAUGUCCUUCAAAAAAAAUUCCACAUCAUAUGUAUAUAUAUGUAUAUAUGGGCACUUGUGAUGUGUGAACAUGUAUGUUGUCAUAUUGAUAUAAAUAUAAAUAUCCAAGUACGUGUUGUAAGAAUGUAAUCUAAAUCAAGACACGAGAGAGAGAGAGAGAGA
rnacentral:misc_RNA from 1 species